rnacentral:rRNA from 1 species
AACGAACGACUGGUGGUAUGCUUAACACAUGCAAGUCGAACGGACGUGGCCUAGCUUGCUAGGAUUCUGUCAGUGGCGCACGGGUGAGUAACGCGUGGGAAUCUACCCAGUAGUAUGGAAUAACAACCAGAAAUGGUUGCUAAUACCGUAUACGCCCUUCGGGGGAAAGAGUUUAUUGCUAUUGGAUGAGCCCGCGUUAGAUUAGCUUGUUGGUAGGGUAAAAGCCUACCAAGGCUACGAUCUAUAGCUGGUUUGAGAGGAUGAUCAGCCACACUGGGACUGAGACACGGCCCAGACUCCUACGGGAGGCAGCAGUGGGGAAUAUUGGACAAUGGGCGAAAGCCUGAUCCAGCAAUACCACGUGAGUGAUGAAGGCCUUCGGGUUGUAAAGCUCUUUUAACAAGGAAGAUAAUGACGGUACUCGUAGAAAAAGCACCGGCUAACUCCGUG